GAUGAACGCUAGCGGCAGGCCUAACACAUGCAAGUCGAGGGGCAGCGAGAUGUAGCAAUACAUUGUCGGCGACCGGCGUAAGGGUGCGUAACACGUGAGUAACUUGCCCGUAACAGGGGGAUAAGCGAUGGAAACGUCGUCUAAUACCCCAUAAUAAUUGUUAUCGCAUGAUGACGAUUUGAAAAUUCCGAUGGUUACGGAUAGACUCGCGUUACAUUAGCUAGUUGGUGAGGUAACGGCUCACCAAGGCGACGAUGUAUAGGGGUUCUGAGAGGAAGAUCCCCCGCACUGGAACUGAGACACGGUCCAGACUCCUACGGGAGGCAGCAGUGAGGAAUAUUGGACAAUGGAGGGAACUCUGAUCCAGCCAUGCCGCGUGAAGGACUAAGGCCCUAUGGGUCGUAAACUUCUUUUGACGCAGAGCAAUAAGAGAUACGAGUAUUUUGAUGAGAGUAUGCGUCGAAUAAGCAUCGGCUAACUCCGUGCCAGCAGCCGCGGUAAUACGGAGGAUGCGAGCGUUAUCCGGGAUUUAUUGGGUUUAAAGGGUGCGUAGGCGGUUGUGCAAGUCAGUGGUGAAAUACGAACGCUCAACGUUCGGGCUGCCAUUGAAACUGUACGGCUAGAGUUCGGAUGCCGUGGGAGGAAUGAGUAGUGUAGCGGUGAAAUGCAUAGAUAUUACUCAGAACACCGAUUGCGAAGGCAUCUCACGAAUGCGAAACUGACGCUGAUGCACGAAAGCGUGGGGAUCAAACAGGAUUAGAUACCCUGGUAGUCCACGCUGUAAACGAUGAUAACUAACUGCCGGCGAUAAACGGUCGGUGGCCAAGCGAAAGCGAUAAGUUAUCCACCUGGGGAGUACGACCGCAAGGUUGAAACUCAAAGGAAUUGACGGGGGCCCGCACAAGCGGAGGAACAUGUGGUUUAAUUCGAUGAUACGCGAGGAACCUUACCCAGGCAUCGAACGGCAUAUGAAUAUUGCAGAGAUGUGAUAGUCUUCGGACAUAUGUCGAGGUGCUGCAUGGUUGUCGUCAGCUCGUGCCGUGAGGUGUCGGCUUAAGUGCCAUAACGAGCGCAACCCUUGUCGUUAGUUACCAUCAAGUAAAGUUGGGGACUCUAACGAGACUGCCACCGCAAGGUGUGAGGAAGGGGGGGAUGACGUCAAAUCAGCACGGCCCUUACGUCUGGGGCGACACACGUGUUACAAUGGUAGGUACAGAGGGCAGCUAUUGAGUGAUCAAGUGCAAAUCUCAAAAACCUAUCUCAGUUCGGACUGGAGUCUGCAACCCGACUCCACGAAGCUGGAUUCGCUAGUAAUCGCGCAUCAGCCAUGGCGCGGUGAAUACGUUCCCGGGCCU
rnacentral:rRNA from 1 species